CCUACGGGGGGCUGCAGUGGGGAAUAUUGCACAAUGGGCGCAAGCCUGAUGCAGCCAUGCCGCGUGUGUGAAGAAGGCCUUCGGGUUGUAAAGCACUUUCAGCGGGGAGGAAGGCGUUAAGGUUAAUAACCUUGGCGAUUGACGUUACCCGCAGAAGAAGCACCGGCUAACUCCGUGCCAGCAGCCGCGGUAAUACGGAGGGUGCAAGCGUUAAUCGGAACUACUGGGCGUAAAGCGCACGCAGGCGGUCUGUCAAGUCGGAUGUGAAAUCCCCGGGCUCAACCUGGGAACUGCAUUCGAAACUGGCAGGCUAGAGUCUUGUAGAGGGGGGUAGAAUUCCAGGUGUAGCGGUGAAAUGCGUAGAGAUCUGGAGGAAUACCGGUGGCGAAGGCGGCCCCCUGGACAAAGACUGACGCUCAGGUGCGAAAGCGUGGGGAGCAAACAGGAUUAGAUACCCUAGUAGUC
rnacentral:rRNA from 1 species